GAUGAAUGCUGGCGGCGUGCCUAAUACAUGCAAGUCGAGCGAACGGACGAGAAGCUUGCUUCUCUGAUGUUAGCGGCGGACGGGUGAGUAACACGUGGAUAACCUACCUAUAAGACUGGGAUAACUUCGGGAAACCGGAGCUAAUACCGGAUAAUAUUUUGAACCGCAUGGUUCAAAAGUGAAAGACGGUCUUGCUGUCACUUAUAGAUGGAUCCGCGCUGCAUUAGCUAGUUGGUAAGGUAACGGCUUACCAAGGCAACGAUGCAUAGCCGACCUGAGAGGGUGAUCGGCCACACUGGAACUGAGACACGGUCCAGACUCCUACGGGAGGCAGCAGUAGGGAAUCUUCCGCAAUGGGCGAAAGCCUGACGGAGCAACGCCGCGUGAGUGAUGAAGGUCUUCGGCUCGUAAAACUCUGUUAUUAGGGAAGAACAUAUGUGUAAGUAACUGUGCACAUCUUGACGGUACCUAAUCAGAAAGCCACGGCUAACUACGUGCCAGCAGCCGCGGUAAUACGUAGGUGGCAAGCGUUAUCCGGAAUUAUUGGGCGUAAAGCGCGCGUAGGCGGUUUUUUAAGUCUGAUGUGAAAGCCCACGGCUCAACCGUGGAGGGUCAUUGGAAACUGGAAAACUUGAGUGCAGAAGAGGAAAGUGGAAUUCCAUGUGUAGCGGUGAAAUGCGCAGAGAUAUGGAGGAACACCAGUGGCGAAGGCGACUUUCUGGUCUGUAACUGACGCUGAUGUGCGAAAGCGUGGGGAUCAAACAGGAUUAGAUACCCUGGUAGUCCACGCCGUAAACGAUGAGUGCUAAGUGUUAGGGGGUUUCCGCCCCUUAGUGCUGCAGCUAACGCAUUAAGCACUCCGCCUGGGGAGUACGACCGCAAGGUUGAAACUCAAAGGAAUUGACGGGGACCCGCACAAGCGGUGGAGCAUGUGGUUUAAUUCGAAGCAACGCGAAGAACCUUACCAAAUCUUGACAUCCUUUGACAACUCUAGAGAUAGAGCCUUCCCCUUCGGGGGACAAAGUGACAGGUGGUGCAUGGUUGUCGUCAGCUCGUGUCGUGAGAUGUUGGGUUAAGUCCCGCAACGAGCGCAACCCUUAAGCUUAGUUGCCAUCAUUAAGUUGGGCACUCUAAGUUGACUGCCGGUGACAAACCGGAGGAAGGUGGGGAUGACGUCAAAUCAUCAUGCCCCUUAUGAUUUGGGCUACACACGUGCUACAAUGGACAAUACAAAGGGCAGCGAAACCGCGAGGUCAAGCAAAUCCCAUAAAGUUGUUCUCAGUUCGGAUUGUAGUCUGCAACUCGACUACAUGAAGCUGGAAUCGCUAGUAAUCGUAGAUCAGCAUGCUACGGGGAAUACGUUCCCGGGUCU
rnacentral:rRNA from 1 species